GCGAAAGUGCGUGCGAGCGAGCGAGCGAGCGAAAGAGACUGUCGGGCGAGUACCGGUACCAAAAUUAUUGCAAACCAACCAAGCUACAGGCCAAUUCUCUGGAAUAUUCCAAGAAAUCCUGGAAGUUUCAGUGAUUCAACCAUCACUCUGAAAAUUGUGUGUCUUCAUUGGUGCUCAAGAGAAAAAACACAGCUUUGUGAACAUGCACUGAGAUUCAAGAUUCCUGGACUUCCUUGAGGGCAGGUAAGUAGGUCAAGAACUAAUACAUCUAAGGGACUUCCAGAUUCAUCACUGUUGUGUCUUUUCUACCGAUCAACAAAAGAGUUAAAGGUAGGUUUUCCUGCCUCUUGCU